ensembl:misc_RNA predicted gene, 27979
UAGUUCAGUGGAUCAUUUUUGUAUGCUGUAGCCUCAAGGAAUGUGGCCCUUGAUCC